AGAAUCAACGCUGGCGGCGUGCCUAACACAUGCAAGUCGAACGAGAAAGUGGAGCAAUCCAUUAGUAAAGUGGCGCACGGGUGAGUAACACGUGACUAACCUACCCUUGAGUGGGGGAUAACCUAGAGAAAUCUGGGCUAAUACCGCAUAAUACCUUCGGGUCAAAGGAGCAAUUCGCUUAAGGAGGGGGUCGCGGCCGAUUAGUUAGUUGGCGGGGUAAUGGCCCACCAAGACUAUGAUCGGUAUCCGGCCUGAGAGGGCGCACGGACACACUGGAACUGAAACACGGUCCAGACUCCUACGGGAGGCAGCAGUGGGGAAUUUGCGCAAUGGGGGAAACCCUGACGCAGCAACGCCGCGUGGAGGAUGAAGCCCCUUGGGGCGUAAACUCCUUUCGAUCGGGACGAUAAUGACGGUACCGAGAGAAGAAGCCCGGCUAAACUUCGCGCCAGCAGCCGC
rnacentral:rRNA from 1 species